UUCCCUUUCUCUGUCCGAACGAACGACGUCGAGUGCUAGAUUGUUCGACGGCGAUGGGAGCUGGGAGAGAAGUCAGCGUAUCGCUAGAUGGAGUCAGAGACAAAAAAACUUGAUGCAGCUCAAGAAACUCAACACGGUUCUCUUCCCUGUUCGCUACAGCGACAAGUACUACGCUGAUGCAAUCGCUUCCGGCGAAUUCACCAAGCCUGUGACAUAUGUGUUGGAGCUAUCGCCUGUCGGCUGGAGAAGAAAGAAAGUGGGGGCAUGCGAAUUUAUAUAAUGACGCUUGGUGUUCUUGCACCAUACCGUGGGAUUGGCAUUGGGAAGUCGUAAAUCUGCUAUCCGAAACCAACUUGAAUCUUGAUACUGACAAAACAAGAAUAAUGUUCAAAGCUAUUGAAUCAUGUUCUUGACAUGUGCUCCAAGCAAAACAUGUGUGAGAUAUACUUGCACGUGCAGACAAACAAUGAAGACGCGAUUAAGUUCUACAAGAAGUUCGGGUUUGAUAUCACAGAUACCAUACAGAACUAUUACAUCAACAUUGAACCAAGUGAUUGCUACGUUGUCAGCAAGUCCCUCGCUCAGUCUGAAGCCAACAAAUGAUGAAAAAUACCCAACUCGGGGAAGCCAUUCCUCCCCCAGUUUCUUUGGUUUUUCAAUUCAAGAUCUAUUAAUGUUAUGAUGAUCCGUCGGUUUCCGAGUUUUGCUUGUUUUCUUGACCUUAAAGUUUCUUAUUGAUUCUAAAUUUUAUAGAUUCAUGGUUAUAUAUACUUGCUGGUUUUGGACCUUUUUUGGUUGGGGAAGUUUUAACUUUGCAAUUCAAAGCUUUAUAUACUCGUACACUUGCCACUCCAGGGGUUCGAAAUUGAGAUUCCAUAUCUGAAAUGUUGUUUUAUCAAUUUGAGUAAGGAUGCAAGAUUCUUGUUAUGAGUGUUAAAUAUUCAAGAAAAUAAUGAACUGUUGAAGAAAUGACUUUGGCUUGCGUGCCGUUAAUUUACAGUGAAUACAGAGAGCUGUGUACUUCUAGAUUCUAAAAACGACACGAUUGUCUAAGAAUCUCCGUUCAUCCGAUUGAUUCCGCCUCUGCAAUUGAGCUCCGGUUCCUCGAGUCGCUCUUUUUUACUCACUCGAUCCAAUUGACCAAUGCGGCGUUCUCGUUUUGCUGCCCAAGUUUUCUCCGACGCCUCCACUAUUUCUGUUCCAAUCUUCGCCACCAUGUCUACUCGUGCUCCUGUAAAUUUCCUCAGCCAUGCUCUAAUUGUAUCACUCUCGCUGUGUUGCUUCGCUUAAUGGAAGAUUAAUUGUUUUUCUUACGGAGCAGUACAGAGGUGGUCGAGGACGAGGCCGAGGUGGGAGAAGUGUCUCCGAUCGGCCGUACAACAACGACGCAGGAAGAAGAGAUCAGUUCGUUACUGAAGACUCGCAUUUUCAGUCAGUUCAUGACGCCAAUCUCCGAUUCCGACAUGGUGAACCUUACCGACAACAUCAGCCUCCGUUAGGUCAGCGGCAGCAACCACCGUUCAAUCAUAAUUACGGAUUUCGACCUCCGCCGCCGUCUCGGGGUCAGUGGCGACAAUUCCGUCAACCUAAUCAUCCGCCAUCCAAUCAAAGCUAUACGGCUUGCCCUCCCCCUCCGUUCUAUCAAAACAUAUGUCUCGGCCGCCUCCGCACGGAGCUUCCGUUAACGGCCACGGUCAAAACCUUCAGAUUACCGUGAAUGGGAACAUGCUAAAACGCCGCUGCCUCCUGGCUCCGAGAAGUUUGUUGUUCUCUCGUAUAACAUCUUGGCGGAUUACCUUGCAAAUUAUCACUGAAGAAGUCUUUACUUUCACAUACAGAGGAAUAUGUUGAGUUGGGGAUGUAGAAAGAGCAAAUUAGUGUUCGAGCUUGGCCUAUGGUCUGCAGAUAUAAUGUGCCUUCAGGAUGUUGAUAAAUUUCAGGACUUAGAGGAGGAGAUGAAGCCCCGGGGAUAUAGUGGCAUUUGGAAGAUGCGGACUGGUAAUGCUGUUGACGGCUGUGCAAUAUUUUGGCGAUCAAAUAGGCACUACAACAAAUAUGUUCAUUCUUAUCACGAGAAAAACGCUAUCAUAGGCCUAUGAUAGCGUUUUCAUUGACGCUGUUUUAGGGUACUGUUAUUAUAUGUACCCCACAUACAAUAGCGUGAGAUAAGUAUGCUAUGUUAUAUUUUUAUAACAUGGCUCUAAAAAACGGCUGUAUUAUCACAUUAAAAAUUUUAAAAUAAUUUAUACAAUAUUUGAUUUUUCGUGCUAUGUUAUACAUCUCUAAUAUAGCUGUCG